rnacentral:sRNA from 1 species
GCCAGGUGCAGUGAUGCAUGCCUGUAAUCCCAGCAGCUCAGGAGGCUGAGGCAGGAGGAUCAUGAGUUCAAAGCCAGCCUCAGUAACUUACUGAGGCUGUAAGUAACUCAGUGAGACCCCUGUCUCUA